rnacentral:rRNA from 1 species
CAGUAGCCGCGGUAAUACAGAGGGUGCGAGCGUUAAUCGGAUUUACUGGGCGUAAAGCGUGCGUAGGCGGCUAAUUGAGUCGGAUGUGAAAUCCCCGAGCUUAACUUGGGAAUUGCAUUCGAUACUGGUUAGCUAGAGUGUGGGAGAGGAUGGUAGAAUUCCAGGUGUAGCGGUGAAAUGCGUAGAGAUCUGGAGGAAUACCGAUGGCGAAGGCAGCCAUCUGGCCUAACACUGACGCUGAGGUACGAAAGCAUGGGGAGCAAACAGGAUUAGAUACCCGUGUAGUCCCUGUCCUUAUACA